rnacentral:rRNA from 1 species
UACGAAGGGGGCUAGCGUUGCUCGGAAUCACUGGGCGUAAAGGGUGCGUAGGCGGCUCUUUAAGUCAGGGGUGAAAUCCUGGAGCUCAACUCCAGAACUGCCUUUGAUACUGAGGAUCUCGAGUUCGGGAGAGGUGAGUGGAACUGCGAGUGUAGUGGUGAAAUUCGAAGAUAUUCGCAAGAACACCAGUGGCGAAGGCGGCUCACUGGCCCGAUACUGACGCUGAGGCACGAAAGCGUGGGGAGCAAACAGG